CGCGGCAGGCUGUUGUUUAUUUUUCGUGUGUGCCAGAUCUGCAGUUGCUCGUCGCGUGUGGAUCGAGUUUGCACCGAAUUCCGGUUCCGGAUCCCUUUUCGGUAGUUCCGUCGUGUGUGUAUGUGCAAAGGGUAAAACGCGAUAAUCGGGAAAAAUGUUUCUUUUUGGCGAAAGUUUUGUGUUUUUGUUCGUCAAGGAGAAGAUUGCUGCAGCUGGAGCGAAAAAAACACAGCUGUAAGCGACACAACAGCGAAUCCUCGCAGCAAAACAGAGGACAGGACCUAUCGGACGAAUGCCCUCAGUUUUGAUCGGGGUCUAAGGCAUUUCCAUCAUUUCGGGGAACUUCAGCAAUCGGCAGGAUCCUGGUCAAAGGAUUCAAAGAAGAGGAGGCCUAAUACGCUAACGGUGGAGCGGUCCAGAACGCCGACUGUUCCGAAGCCAAAGAUGAUUCUGCAACCUGUAACGGUUGCGAUGAGGACGGACUGCAUGCCAGCAGGAGCAAACUUUAGUAAUCGGAGCAAUCAGUUGGACUUCAACAUUGAUCGGCAAAAAUAAUCAAUGUGAUUGUAUCGAAAAACCAGAGGAGUGAU